CGUACAGGUCUCCGUAGGUGAACCUGCGGAGGGAUCAUUACACAAAUAUGAAGGCGGGCUGGAACCUCUCGGGGGUUACAGCCUUGCUGAAUUAUUCACCCUUGUCUUUUGCGUACUUCUUGUUUCCUUGGUGGGUUCGCCCACCACUAGGACAAACAUAAACCUUUUGUAAUUGCAAUCAGCGUCAGUAACAAAUUAAUAAUUACAACUUUCAACAACGGAUCUCUUGGUUCUGGCAUCGAUGAAGAACGCAGCGAAAUGCGAUAAGUAGUGUGAAUUGCAGAAUUCAGUGAAUCAUCGGAUCUUUGAACGCACAUUGCGCCCUUUGGUAUUCCAAAGGGCAUGCCUGUUCGAGCGUCAUUUGUACCCUCAAGCUUUGCUUGGUGUUGGGCGUCUUGUCUCUAGCUUUGCUGGAGACUCGCCUUAAAGUAAUUGGCAGCCGGCCUACUGGUUUCGGAGCGCAGCACAAGUCGCACUCUCUAUCAGCAAAGGUCUAGCAUCCAUUAAGCCUUUUUUCAACUUUUGACCUCGGAUCAGGUAGGGAUACCCGCUGAACUUAAGCAUAUC
rnacentral:rRNA from 1 species